UAACGACUCUCGGCAACGGAUAUCUCGGCUCUCGCAUCGAUGAAAAACGUAGCGAAAUGCGAUACUUGGUGUGAAUUGCAGAAUCCCGUGAACCAUCGAGUCUUUGAACGCAAGUUGCGCUCGAAGCCAUUAGGCCGAGGGCACGUCUGCCUGGGCGUCUCACA
rnacentral:rRNA from 1 species